GUGGCUUUGGGCCAAUUACUCCCCCUCUCUGGGCCUCACGUUCCCCUUCAGUAAAAUGGGCAGAGGAUUGGGUCAUUUCUCAGGAUUCCAGAAGUGUUAGGAGGGAUAGUGGCUUCUGAAUGUUUGAAAAAUAAUAACUGGGCUUCUCUGCUGGGUCAGUGGUAAAGAAUCUGCCUGCCAAUGCAGGAGACACGGGUUCGAUCCCUGAUCCAGGAAGAUCCCAUAUGCUGUGGAGCAACUAAGCCUGUGCGCCACAACCCCCGAGCCUGUGUGCCUAGACCCUGUGCUCCACAACAAGAGAAGUCACCGCAGUGAGAAGCCUGCGCACGAACUAGAGAGCAACACCCUGCUCUCCACAGCCAGAGAAAGCCCACGCAGAAACGAAGACCCAGCACAGCCAAAAAUAAAAUAAACAAAUUGUUUAAAAAAAGAAUAUCUUUAAAAAUUCUAUCAUAAUAAUUAAAACCUCAAACCACGUUUAUUGAAGAUGUUCUGCCGCCCCGACUCACGCUGUGCAUUUUCCCUGCACGUGUCCCUUCAAUCUCACAACAACCCUGAGAGCCUGGUCCUGCUGAAAUUCACACUGUGCAGCUGAGAUGGCUGAACCCAGAGAGGCCUGGCCACUUGCCCAGGGUCACAUUUCCUGUGCCCCAGUUCGCACUGUCCAGGGUGGCGGUACUGGGUCCCCCACUGCUGGUCUACACUAUCUCAUCCCAAAACUGAUGGAAACUUCCUCAAGGCUCAACCUUUAAGGGACAGAGGAGACAGCCAUUCCCCUGUAGCUGGGGAACGGAAGUCUCACGCACAGAGUUCUUGUAUCUAGGCAUUGCAGCAGCGAGUCACCAUCACCUUGGUCCUUGGCUAGAUGGAAAAAUUACUAAGUGUCAGGAGUGAACCAUAAAUAGACCUUGGAUAAAAAUCAUUACCCCCAGAAGCCCGCAGCACCCACAUAACAAACAUAAGCAAAGAUGAAAGCAGUUAUUCCAUCAUUUCAUUAAUCGCAGGUCACACCGCUGGCGGGCACAGAGUGGCCUGAAGGUCCCGCUCCAGCCCCAGCCAGGGUCACCCCUGAUUCCAUCACGAGGCGGAUGCAAACUCCUGAGUCAUCGUCUGGGGAGAUGGGCUGCAGGGCUGGUCACCACUUCCUGCCACCUCCUUGGUGCUCUUCCAGAUGCUUCUGGUGGGAUUAAUGGCUCCCAUGGACCUUCUGAGGCUCAACAUUCAUCCCUCAGCAGGGGUCACGAUCUCUGGCUUGGAAAGGACUUCAGAGAUCACAGAAUCCAGGCCCUUCGAGCACCACAACACCACUCGAUUGGUGUGCAAAGUAUAAAACGGUUAGAGAGGACUUCCAGAUACAGCUCUGACACAUAAAGAGCUUGGAAAUCAUCACUGCCAUCCUUACAGCAAGAAAAAAGAUGAGCAAACCAGAAAUGGAUGGCUUUUCUUACAUCCAUCAGAGAAAUGAGGUCACAGGGCAAACUGCCAACCUGAAAAUUGGACAGACAAGUGAACACGGAGAAUCACAGCUGAGAUCAGCUUGCUGGGAGCAGAAGUUGCUAGAGCCAGUAACUGAUAGGAACAUUUAAUUGGUAAGUGAAGAACUGCUGGGUGGACUAGACUGAGAGUUAGAAAUUCUUGGGCGCUCAGUUUUAGGGUAUCCCUGACAUCCAGAACCUAACCAGGUUCUUAAGGUGACUAUAAGAGAAAAAUCUCUCAUGCUUCAGGCAGGGGUGAGGAGAAAGCAAUCAUUUUGACAUAUGCCCAGAGUAUUCUCCAUAACAAAAGCCUGCCCUCAAGGGGCAGGCUUUACCUGAGGCUUACCUGACCCGAGGGAAGGGCAAUUAGACAACUCCGGCCUCUCCAGCCUUCCUGUCUCACAAAAGGGGAGAAAAAAAAAAAAGGCUUUUUUUUUUUUUUUUAACGUUACAGUUCAAGGACUCAAGCCUAGUAAGAAACUGAGAUUUAAACAGGUUAUCAAAUGCUCUCUCUCCCCAACAUCUUAUCACCACAUCAACAGGGCUCCAAUAUAACAACAAUGGAUACAAACCAAGAGCUGCAAAACAAUUUAAGAAGGAGUUUUUAGGGAAACCCAAAGACAAUUGGAAGUAGAAAAUAAAACCAAGGAAACUUAAGCCUCUGGCA
ensembl:lncRNA